rnacentral:rRNA from 1 species
CGCAGCCGCGGUAAUUCCAGCUCCAAUAGCGUAUAUUAAAGUUGUUGCAGUUAAAAAGCUCGUAGUUGAAUUUCGGGAUCAAUGCGUCGGUCGUGCCUCCGGUAUGUACUGGUGUUAUUGAUUUCUCCCUUCUGAUGAGCCAUGAUGUCAUUAAUUUGAUGUUGUGGGGAGUCAGGACUGUUACUUUGAAAAAUUAGAGUGUUUAAAGCAGGCUCACGCUUGAAUACAUUAGCAUGGAAUAAUGAAAUAGGACGUUCGAUCCUAUUUUGUUGGUUUCUAGGAUCAACGUAAUGAUUAAUAGGGAUAGUUGGGGGCAUUAGUAUUCAAUUGUCAGAGGUGAAAUUCUUGGAUUUAUUGAAGACUAACUACUGCGAAAGCAUUUGCCAAGGAUGUUUUCAUUAAUCAAGAACGAAAGUUAGGGGAUCGAAGACGAUCAGAUAUCGUCGUAGUCUUAACCAUAAACUAUGCCGACUAGGGAUCGGAUGAUGUUAAUUUUUAAUGACU